rfam:Salmo salar isolate Sally breed double haploid chromosome ssa10, whole genome shotgun sequence.
AAUGCACCAAUUUGUAAGUCGCUCUGGAUAAGAGCGUCUGCUAAAUGUAAAAUG